UACGUAGGGUGCAAGCGUUGUCCGGAAUUAUUGGGCGUAAAGAGCUCGUAGGCGGUCUGUCGCGUCGGUCGUGAAAUCCCUCGGCUCAACCGAGGAACGUCGAUCGAUACUGCUGUUCUUGAGGAUUGCAGAGGAGACUGGAAUUCCCGGUGUAGCGGUGAAAUGUGUAGAUAUCGGGAGGAACACCUGAGGCGAAGGCGGGUUACUGGGCUGAUACUGACGCUGAAUCACGAAAGCUAGGGGAGCAAACGGG
rnacentral:rRNA from 1 species